CGUGUAGGCGGCUGGGUAAGUCAGAUGUGAAAGUCCCGGGCUUAACUCGGGAAGUGCAUUUGAUACUGCUCAGCUAGAGUAAGGGAGAGGAAAGUGGAAUUCCUGGUGUAGGGGUGAAAUUCGUAGAUAUCAGGAGGAACACCGGUGGCGAAGGCGGCUUUCUGGCCCUAUACUGACGCUGAGACGCGAAAGCGUGGGGAGCAAACAGGAUUAGAUACCCUGGUAGUCC
rnacentral:rRNA from 1 species